UUGAAUUAGUAUAUUUAAAAAAAAAUUAUAUUUUAACUUGCAUUUCUUUUGACGUUCAUGUUUAUAUAAUUAGAUUACAACUAAGUUUGUGUAUGGCUUGUUUAUAUUAUUUCAGAAUUUGCUAUUUUAGACACUUGGUAUAAGCUGUCAUACUACACGUGGCAUGUGGUAUCCCACUAAUUAGCUAUUUUAAACAUGUGACAAGUGGUACGACACUCUAUUGAUAUAUGUGAAAUGUAUAGAGUCUUUCAGUUAUCAGAUAAUGUCAAGGAGUUGACAGCAUGGUGUCCGAUUUAAAGUGUGAACCUGUGUACGAGUAACAACAGUAUUCAAAACCAAAACCUAUUUAAACCAACCAAACCAAAACUAACGACCAAAAUCUAUCUUGGCAUUGGUUUAUUUUAAACACCUAUUAUAUAUAUGUGUGUUUUUUAUAUAAAUGUACUAGCUUGAGUAUAGUGUA
rnacentral:lncRNA from 1 species